CUUUGUAACUGUCCUUCAGGUAAGAAAAGCACGGUGAGCUCCUUGGAUAGAUACAGAUGAAACCACUGAUUACAUUUCUACAGUUUGGCCACUCCAGUCUGAGGAGUCUAGAAUCUGUUCUACAAGGUACUUCGAUGUCUUAUCUACGAGACCAGGGUUCACAAACCAUGGGGCAGAUCAGUGUGGCACCUUCAGGAACUCUGCUGCUGAGCCAUGGCUGCAAGGAUGGGGAAACGGAUCUGGAAUUUGAGCACCUGGGAAGGAUAGUGGUAGCAACCUGAGCCUGGUCCCACCCAGCCUCUCCGGCCUCCUGUUUGGAGACAUGAUUCUUCCUCCCAGAGGAGCCCCCACCACUGCAAGUACCAUGACGUUGCACAACUAGUGAAGCAACCCUCGCCCGAGCCUGUGCCUUGGUGUCUGGACUUUCAGUGCCUAGAGCCACAAGCCAAUAAAACCUCUUUUUCUACGUAAGUAGCCUGCCUCAGAUACUUUAUUAUGAUAACAAAAAGCUGGCUAGUACACACUACAAGUGAAAA
rnacentral:lncRNA from 1 species